UACAGAGGGGGCAAGCGUUGUUCGGAAUCACUGGGCUUAAAGGGCGCGUAGGCGGCUUGCCAAGUCAGGGGUGAAAUCCAGCAGCUUAACUGUUGAAGUGCCUUUGAUACUGGCGAGCUCGAGGGAGGUAGGGGUCUGUGGAACUUCUGGUGGAGCGGUGAAAUGCGUUGAUAUCAGAAGGAACGCCGGUGGCGAAAGCGACGGACUGGACCUCUUCUGACGCUGAGGCGCGAAAGCUAGGGGAGCAAACAGG
rnacentral:rRNA from 1 species